rnacentral:rRNA from 1 species
UACGAAGGGGGCUAGCGUUGUUCGGAAUCACUGGGCGUAAAGCGCACGUAGGCGGAUCUUUAAGUCAGGGGUGAAAUCCCGAGGCUCAACCUCGGAACUGCCUUUGAUACUGGGGAUCUCGAGUCCGGGAGAGGUGAGUGGAACUGCGAGUGUAGAGGUGAAAUUCGUAGAUAUUCGCAAGAACACCAGUGGCGAAGGCGGCUCACUGGCCCGGGACUGACGCUGAGGUGCGAAAGCGUGGGGAGCAAACAGG